rnacentral:rRNA from 1 species
CGGACGGGUGAGUAAUGCCUAGGAAUCUGCCUGGUAGUGGGGGACAACGUUUCGAAAGGAACGCUAAUACCGCAUACGUCCUACGGGAGAAAGCAGGGGACCUUCGGGCCUUGCGCUAUCAGAUGAGCCUAGGUCGGAUUAGCUAGUUGGUGAGGUAAUGGCUCACCAAGGCGACGAUCCGUAACUGGUCUGAGAGGAUGAUCAGCCACACUGGAACUGAGACACGGUCCAG